rnacentral:rRNA from 1 species
AUACGGGGAGGGCUAGCGUUGUUCGGAAUUAUUGGGCGUAAAGCGCGUGUAGGCGGUUUGUUAAGUCUGAUGUGAAAGCCCCGGGCUCAACCUGGGAAGUGCAUUGGAUACUGGCAGACUUGAAUACGGGAGAGGGCAGUGGAAUUCCUGGUGUAGGAGUGAAAUCCGUAGAUAUCAGGAGGAACACCGGUGGCGAAGGCGGCUGCCUGGACCGAUAUUGACGCUGAGACGCGAAAGCGUGGGUAGC